rnacentral:rRNA from 1 species
GACGAACGCUGGCGGCGUGCCUAACACAUGCAAGUAGAACGCAGUUGCGAACGGGUGAGUAACGCGUAGGUAACUGCCUCAUAGCGGGGGAUAACUAUUGGAAACGAUAGCUAAUACCGCAUAUUGUGAGAUGGACUUGCGUUGUAUUAGUUAGUUGGUGGGGUAACGGCUCACCAAGGCGACGACACAUAGCCGACCUGAGCGGGUGAGUGGCCACACUGAGACUGUGGCCCGGCCCAGACUUCUUGGGGAGGCAGCAGUAGUGAAUCGUCGGCCAUGGACGGGGGUCUUACCGAGAGACGCCGCGUUAGUAAAGAGGGUUUUCGGGGCGUAAAGCUCUGUUGUUAGAGCAGCGUUAACUACCCAGAAAGGGACGGCUAACUACGUGCCAGCCGCCGCGGUAAUUC